rnacentral:rRNA from 1 species
CAGUAGCCGCGGUAAUACAGAGGAUGCAAGCGUUAUCCGGAAUGAUUGGGCGUAAAGGGUGCGUAGGCGGGUCUUUAAGUCGGGGGUGAAAGACGGUAGCUUAACUAUCGCAGUGCCCUUGAUACUGAUGGGCUUGAAUGAACUAGAGGUAGGCGGAAUGUGACAAGUAGCGGUGAAAUGCAUAGAUAUGUCACAGAACACCAAUUGCGAAGGCAGCUUACUACGGUUUUAUUGACACUGAGGCACGAAAGCGUGGGGAUCAAACAGGAUUAGAUACCCCAGUAGUCCCUGUCUCUUAUAC